rnacentral:rRNA from 1 species
UACAGAGGUCUCAAGCGUUGUUCGGAUUCAUUGGGCGUAAAGGGUGCGUAGGCGGCGCGGUAAGUCGGGUGUGAAAUCUCGGAGCUUAACUCCGAAACUGCAUUCGAUACUGCCGUGCUUGAGGACUGGAGAGGAGACUGGAAUUUACGGUGUAGCGGUGAAAUGCGUAGAUAUCAAGAGGAACACCAGUGGCGAAGGCGAGUCCCUGGACGAUAACUGACACUGAGGCACGAAAGCUAGGGGAGCAAACAGG